UACGAAGGGGACUAGCGUUGUUCGGAAUCACUGGGCGUAAAGCGCACGUAGGCGGAUUUGUAAGUCAGGGGUGAAAUCCCGGGGCUCAACCUCGGAACUGCCUUUGAUACUGCGAGUCUUGAGUCCGAUAGAGGUGGGUGGAAUUCCUAGUGUAGAGGUGAAAUUCGUAGAUAUUCGCAAGAACACCAGUGGCGAAGGCGGCUCACUGGCCCGGUACUGACGCUGAGGUGCGAAAGCGUGGGGAGCAAACAGG
rnacentral:rRNA from 1 species